AAGGUCAAUUGAAGUUAAAAUUGAUAUGCACUUAAUUUCUGAAUUCUAAUACAAAAUGCAUUUCGUGUUUUUCAUUAUGACAUUACUGUGCUUAUGGUUCUUGUUAUUAGAUCUCUGCAAGGAAAUAGGCUGACAGGGAAAAUUCCAGAGGUGAUAGGUCUAAUGCAAGCCCUUGCUGUUUUCCAAUUCAACUUACUCCUUGGUUCUUGCAGAUGAUGGUAGGGAAGACCUAUUUGAAAAAAAAGCCUUAUGAAUAGAUGGUCGUGUCUACUUCUAUAUUUACUUUGGUGUUUUUAACCUAUUUGUUAAUAUUUCAUUACAGGAAGUUACAAAAAAGGCCCAAGAAGAGGCUUCUGAGCAUGUGAGAUGUCUGGAAGAAGAUUUGGGAAAGUUGAGUACAAGUUUUUUGUUGAUGGAGAAUGGCGGCAUGAUGAGCACCAACCAUUUGUAAGUGGAAAUUAUGGGGUGGUGAACAGUGUCUUCUUAGCUAGGGAGCCUGAUGUGAUUCCUGCAAUUUAUACUCCAGAGACACCUGGUAGAUCUAGUAUGGAUGUGAAUAAUGAUCCAUUUUUUCAUUUUUUGGAAGC